rnacentral:rRNA from 1 species
AUCUCAGUUCAGACUGCAGGCUGCAACUCGCCUGCACGAAGUCGGGAUUGCUAGUAAUCGUAGGUCAGCAUACUACGGUGAAUACGUUCCCGGGCCUUGUACACACCGCCCGUCAAACCAUGAGAGUUGGCAACACCCGAAGUCGGUAGUCUAACCGCAAGGAGGACGCCGCCGAAGGUGGGGUUGAUGAUUAGGGUUAAGUCGUAACAAGGUAAC